rnacentral:tRNA from 1 species
GCCCCGUUAGUGUAGUCCGGUCCAGCGGCAACUCAGCUAUUGCUUGGGUUCCCUGCGGGAACAAUCAUGCGGCCCUCUCGAGGCCGCGACUCGGGUUCGAAUCCCGAACGGGGCA